GUGAGGAAUAUUGGACAAUGGGCGCAAGCCUGAUCCAGCCAUGCCGCGUGCAGGAAGACGCAUCUAUGGUGUGUAAACUGCUUUUGUACGGGAAGAAACACUCCCUCGUGAGGGAGCUUGACGGUACCGUAAGAAUAAGGAUCGGCUAACUCCGUGCCAGCAGCCGCGGUAAUACGGAGGAUCCAAGCGUUAUCCGGAAUCAUUUGGUUUAAAGGGUCCGUAGGCGGUUUAAUAAGUCAGUGGUGAAAGCCCAUCGCUCAACGAUGGAACGGCCAUUGAUACUGUUAGACUUGAAUUACAAGGAAGUAACUAGAAUAUGUAGUGUAGCGGUGAAAUGCUUAGAUAUUACAUGGAAUACCAAUUGCGAAGGCAGGUUACUACUUGUGGAUUGACGCUGAUGGACGAAAGCGUGGGGAGCGAACAGGAUUAGAAAACCUAGUAGUCC
rnacentral:rRNA from 1 species